rnacentral:snRNA from 1 species
AUCUCUUCUAGGCCUUUUGGCUAAGAUCAAGUGUAGUAUCUGUCCUUAUCAGUUUAAAAAUUUAUUUGGGGACCCUGCGCAGUAGCCUAG